rnacentral:rRNA from 1 species
CGGGAAACUGAGGCUAAACCGCGAUAGGCCAAGAUUUCUGGAAUGAAUCAUGGCUCAAAUCUAUAUGGCCCCUGGAUUGGACUGCGGCCGAUCAGGCUGUUGGUGAGGUAAUGGCCCACCAAACCUGUAACCGGUACGGGCUCUGAGAGGAGGAGCCCGGAGAUGGGCACUUAGACAAGGGCCCAGGCCCUAUGGGGCGCAGCAGGCGCGAAACCUCUGCAAUAAGCGAAAGCUUGACAGGGUUACUCUGAGUGAUUUCCGCUAAGGAAGUCUUUUGGCACCUCUAAAAAUGGUGCAGAAUAAGGGGUGGGCAAGUCUGGUGUCAGCCGCCGCGGUAAUACCAGCACCCCGAGUGGUCGGGACGAUUAUUGGGCCUAAAGCAUCCGUAGCCGGUCCUGCAAGUCCUCCGUUAAAUCCACCCGCUCAACGGUUGGGCCGCGGGGGAUACUACAGGGCUAGGAGGCGGGAGAGGCAAGCGGUACUCGAUGGGUAGGGGUAAAAUCCACUGAUCCAUUGAAGACCACCAGUGGCGAAGGCGGCUUGCCAGAACGCGCUCGACGGUGAGGGAUGAAAGCUGGGGGAGCAAACCGGAUUAGAUACCCGGGU